UAGGGGGCGAGCGUUAUCCGGAUUCAUUGGGCGUAAAGCGCGCGUAGGCGGCGCGCCAAGCGGGACCUCUAACCCCGGGGCUCAACCCCGGGCCGGGUCCCGGACUGGCGCGCUCGAGUGCGGUAGAGGCGAGUGGAAUUCCCGGUGUAGCGGUGGAAUGCGCAGAUAUCGGGAAGAACACCGAUGGCGAAGGCAGCUCGCUGGGCCGCCACUGACGCUGAGGCGCGAAAGCUGGGGGAGCGA
rnacentral:rRNA from 1 species